AAUAGAUACCCUGGUAGUCCACGCCGUAAACGAUGAGUGCUAAGUGUUAGAGGGUUUCCGCCCUUUAGUGCUGCAGCUAACGCAUUAAGCACUCCGCCUGGGGAGUACGGCCGCAAGGCUGAAACUCAAAGGAAUUGACGGGGGCCCGCACAAGCGGUGGAGCAUGUGGUUUAAUUCGAAGCAACGCGAAGAACCUUACCAGGUCUUGACAUCCUCUGCCAACCCUAGAGAUAGGGCGUUCCCCUUCGGGGGACAGAGUGACAGGUGGUGCAUGGUUGUCGUCAGCUCGUGUCGUGAGAUGUUGGGUUAAGUCCCGCAACGAGCGCAACCCUUGAUCUUAGUUGCCAGCAUUCAGUUGGGCACUCUAAGGUGACUGCCGGUGACAAACCGGAGGAAGUGGGGAUGACGUCAAAUCAUCAUGCCCCUUAUGACCUGGGCUACACACGUGCUACAAUGGAUGGUACAAAGAGCUGCGAACCCGCGAGGGUAAGCCAAUCUCAUAAAGCCAUUCUCAGUUCGGAUUGU
rnacentral:rRNA from 1 species